rnacentral:rRNA from 1 species
UACGAGGGGGGCUAGCGUUGCUCGGAAUUACUGGGCGUAAAGCGCACGUAGGCGGCUUUCUAAGUCGGGGGUGAAAUCCUGGAGCUCAACUCCAGAACUGCCUUCGAUACUGGAAAGCUCGAGUCCGGGAGAGGUGAGUGGAACUGCGAGUGUAGAGGUGAAAUUCGUAGAUAUUCGGAAGAACACCAGUGGCGAAGGCGGCUCACUGGCCCGGUACUGACGCUGAGGUGCGAAAGCGUGGGGAGCAAACAGG